UACGGGGGGAGCAAGCGUUGUUCGGAUUUACUGGGCGUAAAGGGCGCGUAGGCGGCCUCCGCAAGUCAAUUGUGAAAUCUCCGGGCUUAACUCGGAAAGGUCAACUGAUACUGAUGUGCUAGAGUGCAGAAGGGGCAACCGGAAUUCUUGGUGUAGCGGUGAAAUGCGUAGAUAUCAAGAGGAACACCUGAGGUGAAGACGGGUUGCUGGGCUGACACUGACGCUGAGGCGCGAAAGCUAGGGUAGCAAACGGG
rnacentral:rRNA from 1 species